rnacentral:rRNA from 1 species
GACGAACGCUGGCGGCGUGCUUAACACAUGCAAGUCGAACGGAAAGGCCCUGCUUUUGUGGGGUGCUCGAGUGGCGAACGGGUGAGUAACACGUGAGUAACCUGCCCUUGACUUUGGGAUAACUUCAGGAAACUGGGGCUAAUACCGGAUAGGAGCUCCUGCGGCAGGGUGGGGGUUGGAAGGUUUCGGCGGUGGGGGAUGGACUCGCGGCUUAUCAGCUUGUUGGUGGGGUAGUGGCUUACCAAGGCUUUGACGGGUAGCCGGCCUGAGAGGGUGACCGGCCACAUUGGGACUGAGAUACGGCCCAGACUCCUACGGGAGGCAGCAGUGGGGAAUAUUGCACAAUGGGCGGAAGCCUGAUGCAGCAACGCCGCGUGCGGGAUGACGGCCUUCGGGUUGUAAACCGCUUUCGCCUGUGACGAAGCGUGAGUGACGGUAAUGGGUAAAGAAGCACCGGCUAACUACGUG